rnacentral:lncRNA from 1 species
AGAGUUCCUAUAUACCCUGCCCCCAGUUUCCCCUAUUAACAUCUUAGACUAGUGUGGCUCAUUUGUCACAAUUAAUGAACCGGUAUUGAUAUAUUAAGUCUAUACUCUCUUCAGAUUUCCAUAGUUUUUACCUGAUAACCAUUUUUCUGUUCCAGGUGCCUUUCCAGGGUACCCAUUGCAUUUAGUCGUCAUGUCAUCUUAGUCUCCACUGUUCUGUGAGAGUUUCUCAGUUUUAUGUCUUUUACAGUUUCGAAGAAUACCAGUCAGGUAGAAUGUUCCUCAGACUGGGGUUGUCAGAUGUUUUUCUCAUGAUUAGAUUGGGUUUUCAGAAAGAAUAGCACAGAGGUGAAAUGCCCUUCUCAUCACAUGUCAGUUGUACACAGUAAUCACAUGACAACACUGGUGAUGUGAACCUCGACCCCUUGGUUAAGGCAGUGUUGGUCAGGUUUCUCCACUGUAAAGUUACUGUUUUUCUCUUUUCCUACCCUUUUAUUUCUUUCUAAGCUGCUCCCUUACAAAGUCCAGCCCACACUCAUGUGGGAGGGAGGCACUAGACCCCACCUCCUAAAGGGGACUCUGUGUACUUACAUUAUUUGGAAUUCUCUGUAAAGGUUUGUCACUUCUCUGUUUAUUUGUUAAUUCAAUCAUUUGUUCAGUAUGGACUUGAAGUCUGUUUUGGGUUGAAGUCUGUAUUAGUCACAGUUCUCCAGAGAAGCAAAACCAAUAGGAUGGAUACAGAGAUAGUUCUCUAGGUCAUGUGAUUGUAGGGGCUGGAAAGUCAGGUAUGAGGCAGUGUGCUGGCUGAAUUUCCUCUGGGGGGAGGUCAAUCUGUUUAAAUUUAAGGCCUUUAACUGAUUGGAUGAGGCCAGUCACUCACAUUGUGAGGGUAAUCUGCUUUACUGAAAGUGUACUGAUUUAAAUUGUAAUAUUUUUAAAAAAAUGCCUUCAUAGAAACAUCUAGAAUAUUUGACCACAUAUCGGUACUAAAUUAAUAAUACGUGUGUUUUGUUUCUAAAUUAUCCCAGCUUUAGUUAUUAAGAGUUGUUUCAGGUUGGCGCCUAGGUCCCUUUGACCUGCACUCAACCUUUUAGUUUUUAAGCAUUUCUUAUUUUCUGAUGACUGCAGGAUGUGUCAGACCCUCUUCUGUUUUCUCUAUCCCAGCCUUAGAGUCAGCGUUUCUCUAAGAAUAGUAGCUAGAAACCAAGAUCUGAGUAUGGAAAGUGCUUGUAGCCACUGGGGUGUCAUUACCUUAUGGGACAGAGGUAGGCAAUAUGUGUGUUUAAACUAACUUGGGUAUAUAUGUGUCAAUGGUUCUGUAUAUCCAUCUGUAUGUGUAUUUUAUUAUUACUAAAGUAUAGUUGAUUUACAGUGUUUCCUCAAGUUCUGUUGUACAACAAAGCGACCCAGUCACACACAUUUCCCUGUGCUGUACAGUAGGAUCCCAUUGCACAUCCAUUCAUCUGCGUAUGUAUUGAGCUACCCCUAGGUUCAUACUUAUUUUGACUCUAUUCAAGUAUUAGAGUGUUUAUUCUAGCCUUCCCUUUUUUUUUUUUUUUUUUUUUUUGUAACUUCCCUCUCUGACAGUGAGAAACCUGGCCCUUACCAUUUAUUUAAAAGCAGUUUUAGGAGUGCCUUGUGGCUCAGCAGGUUAAGGAUCCAGUGUUGAUAUUGCUGUGGCGUGCGUUUGUUUCCUGGCCUGGGAACUUCUGCAUGCUGUGGGCAUGGCCAAAAAAAAAAGCAGUUUUAGAAAUUUUAAACCCAUACCCAUGUGGGAAAUAAAUUUACAACUAGAGUACAUUGCUUAUGUAAGUUCUUUCUCUGUUUCUUUUCACUUUACAGUCCAAACAUUGAUUUCCAGCCUUUCUUAGGUCACCUCCUUUCCCUCCCAACCCUUUCAGUGAGAUUGUGUCGUACAUUUGUAAUACAGUUAGAUUCAUUUGUCAUAGUCUCAUUCCGUCCUUGUUGAUUUUUAAAAUUUACGUUCAUCAGAGUUCAUGCUUUGAGAUACACAUUUUUCUUCAUGGGUCUUUUGUUUUGCUUUUUAGGGCCGAACUCACAGCAUAAGGAGGUUCUCAGGCUAGGGGUCUAAUCGGAGCUAUAGCCGCCAGCCUACACCAGGGCCACAGCAAUGCCAGAUCCCAGCCACAUAUGCCCAUGGCAACGCCGGCUCCUUAACCCACCGAGUGAGGCCAGGGAUCAAACCUGCAUCCUCAUGGAUACUAGUUGGGUUUGUAACCCAAUGAAGCCACAAUGGGGACUCCCUAUCCUAGUAUUUUAAAAAUAUUUUAAAUAUUCUAUUCUGUCAUGGCACAGUGGAAGCGAAUCCGACUGGGAACCAUGAGGUUGUGGGUUCGAUCCCUGGCCUUGCUCAGUUAAGGAUCCUGCAUUGCCGUGAGCUGUGGUGUAGGUUGCAGGCACACCUGAGAUCUGGCAUUGCUGUGGCUAUAGCAUAGGCCGGCAGCUGUAGCUCGGAUUAGAUCCCUAGCCUGGGAACCUCCAUAUGCUGCAGGUGCGGCCCUGAAAAGCAAAAA